rnacentral:rRNA from 1 species
UUAAGCGACUAAGCGUACACGGUGGAUGCCCUGGCAGUCAGAGGCGAUGAAGGACGUGCUAAUCUGCGAUAAGCGUCGGUAAGGUGAUAUGAACCGUUAUAACCGGCGAUUUCCGAAUGGGGAAACCCAGUGUGUUUCGACACACUAUCAUUAACUGAAUCCAUAGGUUAAUGAGGCGAACCGGGGGAACUGAAACAUCUAAGUACCCCGAGGAAAAGAAAUCAACCGAGAUUCCCCCAGUAGCGGCGAGCGAACGGGGAGGAGCCCAGAGCCUGAAUCAGUGUGUGUGUUAGUGGAAGCGUCUGGAAAGGCGCGCGAUACAGGGUGACAGCCCCGUACACAAAAAUGCACAUGCUGUGAGCUCGAUGAGUAGGGCGGGACACGUGGUAUCCUGUCUGAAUAUGGGGGGACCAUCCUCCAAGGCUAAAUACUCCUGACUGACCGAUAGUGAACCAGUACCGUGAGGGAAAGGCGAAAAGAACCCCGGCGAGGGGAGUGAAAAAGAACCUGAAACCGUGUACGUACAAGCAGUGGGAGCACGCUUAGGCGUGUGACUGCGUACCUUUUGUAUAAUGGGUCAGCGACUUAUAUUCUGUAGCAAGGUUAACCGAAUAGGGGAGCCGAAGGGAAACCGAGUCUUAACUGGGCGUUAAGUUGCAGGGUAUAGACCCGAAACCCGGUGAUCUAGCCAUGGGCAGGUUGAAGGUUGGGUAACACUAACUGGAGGACCGAACCGACUAAUGUUGAAAAAUUAGCGGAUGACUUGUGGCUGGGGGUGAAAGGCCAAUCAAACCGGGAGAUAGCUGGUUCUCCCCGAAAGCUAUUUAGGUAGCGCCUCGUGAAUUCAUCUCCGGGGGUAGAGCACUGUUUCGGCAAGGGGGUCAUCCCGACUUACCAACCCGAUGCAAACUGCGAAUACCGGAGAAUGUUAUCACGGGAGACACACGGCGGGUGCUAACGUCCGUCGUGAAGAGGGAAACAACCCAGACCGCCAGCUAAGGUCCCAAAGUCAUGGUUAAGUGGGAAACGAUGUGGGAAGGCCCAGACAGCCAGGAUGUUGGCUUAGAAGCAGCCAUCAUUUAAAGAAAGCGUAAUAGCUCACUGGUCGAGUCGGCCUGCGCGGAAGAUGUAACGGGGCUAAACCAUGCACCGAAGCUGCGGCAGCGACGCUUAUGCGUUGUUGGGUAGGGGAGCGUUCUGUAAGCCUGUGAAGGUGUACUGUGAGGUAUGCUGGAGGUAUCAGAAGUGCGAAUGCUGACAUAAGUAACGAUAAAGCGGGUGAAAAGCCCGCUCGCCGGAAGACCAAGGGUUCCUGUCCAACGUUAAUCGGGGCAGGGUGAGUCGACCCCUAAGGCGAGGCCGAAAGGCGUAGUCGAUGGGAAACAGGUUAAUAUUCCUGUACUUGGUGUUACUGCGAAGGGGGGACGGAGAAGGCUAUGUUGGCCGGGCGACGGUUGUCCCGGUUUAAGCGUGUAGGCUGGUUUUCCAGGCAAAUCCGGAAAAUCAAGGCUGAGGCGUGAUGACGAGGCACUACGGUGCUGAAGCAACAAAUGCCCUGCUUCCAGGAAAAGCCUCUAAGCAUCAGGUAACAUCAAAUCGUACCCCAAACCGACACAGGUGGUCAGGUAGAGAAUACCAAGGCGCUUGAGAGAACUCGGGUGAAGGAACUAGGCAAAAUGGUGCCGUAACUUCGGGAGAAGGCACGCUGAUAUGUAGGUGAAGCGACUUGCUCGUGGAGCUGAAAUCAGUCGAAGAUACCAGCUGGCUGCAACUGUUUAUUAAAAACACAGCACUGUGCAAACACGAAAGUGGACGUAUACGGUGUGACGCCUGCCCGGUGCCGGAAGGUUAAUUGAUGGGGUCAGCGCAAGCGAAGCUCUUGAUCGAAGCCCCGGUAAACGGCGGCCGUAACUAUAACGGUCCUAAGGUAGCGAAAUUCCUUGUCGGGUAAGUUCCGACCUGCACGAAUGGCGUAAUGAUGGCCAGGCUGUCUCCACCCGAGACUCAGUGAAAUUGAACUCGCUGUGAAGAUGCAGUGUACCCGCGGCAAGACGGAAAGACCCCGUGAACCUUUACUAUAGCUUGACACUGAACAUUGAGCCUUGAUGUGUAGGAUAGGUGGGAGGCUUUGAAGUGUGGACGCCAGUCUGCAUGGAGCCGACCUUGAAAUACCACCCUUUAAUGUUUGAUGUUCUAACGUGGACCCGUAAUCCGGGUUGCGGACAGUGUCUGGUGGGUAGUUUGACUGGGGCGGUCUCCUCCUAAAGAGUAACGGAGGAGCACGAAGGUUGGCUAAUCCUGGUCGGACAUCAGGAGGUUAGUGCAAUGGCAUAAGCCAGCUUGACUGCGAGCGUGACGGCGCGAGCAGGUGCGAAAGCAGGUCAUAGUGAUCCGGUGGUUCUGAAUGGAAGGGCCAUCGCUCAACGGAUAAAAGGUACUCCGGGGAUAACAGGCUGAUACCGCCCAAGAGUUCAUAUCGACGGCGGUGUUUGGCACCUCGAUGUCGGCUCAUCACAUCCUGGGGCUGAAGUAGGUCCCAAGGGUAUGGCUGUUCGCCAUUUAAAGUGGUACGCGAGCUGGGUUUAGAACGUCGUGAGACAGUUCGGUCCCUAUCUGCCGUGGGCGCUGGAGAACUGAGGGGGGCUGCUCCUAGUACGAGAGGACCGGAGUGGACGCAUCACUGGUGUUCGGGUUGUCAUGCCAAUGGCACUGCCCGGUAGCUAAAUGCGGAAGAGAUAAGUGCUGAAAGCAUCUAAGCACGAAACUUGCCCCGAGAUGAGUUCUCCCUGACUCCUUGAGAGUCCUGAAGGAACGUUGAAGACGACGACGUUGAUAGGCCGGGUGUGUAAGCGCAGCGAUGCGUUGAGCUAACCGGUACUAAUGAACCGUGAGGCUUAACCUU